UAGACUAUAUAUGCGUGCUCGUGAAUGUCCUGUUAUUUUGUUUCUGCAAACUCAAACUACAGCAGGAAUCCGCCAAACUGACCAAACUCAUAAAGACUACGGAGAGAACUACAGCUGAAAAAUGAGUGCCUCUAAAAGUCAAAGAAAUUCUGAGUCCAAGCUGAAGGAUCUGCAGUGCCACUUCACCUGGGCUCUCGACCCUGAGAAGUCCCGACUUCUACGUUUAAAGGACAAGCUUGAGGACAUCGGCACCGAGAAGGGAAAUCUAUGGCUGGGCCACAUUUACAACCUGCAGGGGUUUAUUGAGCAUAAGCUGGGGUUAAAUGAAGAGGCUAAGAGUUUGUUCCAGAAGGCUACGGAGGCACUCAACAAGCUGAGAAAGGCAGAUGAGGGUCCUUGGUUAGUGGUGAACUACGGGAACCUGGCCUGGCUGCACCACCACCUGGGAGAUCAAGCAGAGAGUCAGGCUUACCUGUCAAAGGUUGAUGCCCUGAUGGAAAAAUACCCAUCUCCAUCCCAGGACGACCUCCAUCCAGAGAUCUGCGCUGAAAAGGCCUGGACCCUGAUGAAAUUCGGUAAAAAGGUACAGCCGCAGGCUGCAGAUCUCUUCGAGAAAGCCAUCAGGAUGCAGCCGGACAGGGUGGAGUGGAACGCCAGCUAUGUCUUAGGUUUAGCGCGUGCCAGUAAGCACAGCGAAAGUGGGGUAGACGCUAACUCCCUGAAAAAAAUGGAACGUGCAAAGAAUCAGAAUCCAAAGAACUUGUACCUCGCUGCUGUCUACCUUAUGCAACUUGCCAAGAAAGGACAAAAAGUUGAGGAUGAAGCACAGAAGUUGGCAAGUCAGAUCUUGAAAAAUCCGGUCAGCAGCUACAGCGGUAUAAAGCCAUUACUGAGACUUUACACAAACUACAUAUCUGUAGAUGAGGCCAUUGAUUUGGCAGAGGAUGCUCUGAAAAAACAUCCAGAUGAGCGUUAUCUUAAGAGAUGUGUUGCACUCUGCUACAAGUGGAAGAUCGUGUUUUUUUUCAGAGAGAGUCGCCCAAGGCCAGGCAUGACAGAGAGGGCAAUCAGUCUCCAUCGAGAGGUUAUUUCUCUUUACCCUAACUCUUCAUUCGUCAAGAAAAUUGAUCUUGCAAGUGUGUACGCAAAGUCAGACAAGGCUAAAGCCGAGGCGAUAUUCCAGAAACUGCUCCGAAGGGAUCUGGAGCCUGCAGAGAAACAGGUGCUUUACAACCGCUUUGCAAAGCACUUAUUCUCUGAUAAACAGGAUUACCAAAAGUCAAUGCAGUUCCACAUGAGGGCUGCUUCGAUAACAGUCGAGUCCUUCUUCCGUGACGACAGCAUCGAAGCUCUGAGGAGAACAAAAGACACAACAAAGUGGAACCGAAGGAGUAAAGAAAUAGAAGAGUUUCUGGCUAAACUGAAACUGUAGUGUCCUCCAGAAAAAUGGAGGUAGUGUAUCACCUAAAAAAAGAUCAGGAGCACUCGCAAAAAUGAAGCUAAGGCGGUUUAUGAAAAUCAUACAAUGAUUUCAAACAGUGAAGUUUUACAGCAGCCUCGAUUAGUUUCAGUGUAAUUAAGCUUUCUUUGCAGGGAACGCUAAAAUACGAUUUUUUUUUACGUUUACAAAUCGAGCAAUGUUUGACAAAUUCAUACCGACAUGUAACAGGAGUCUCUGCUGGCUGUGUUAUUGUCGGUGCCGUGUAAACAUGGACGGGACGGCCUUGAAUGUCAUGCAAGAGUUUUUAGAUCACGGUCAUUCCGUGUCAAUUAACAUGCAAUGUGAAGCUACGAGCUAACUAAAGAGCGCUAACAUUAGCAUGCUAACACAACGAUGAAGGACAGGUGAUUGCAGUUUGAGUAAAGGACAAUUUUGUCUGCCGCUUAUGCUUAAUGGUGUUUAAUUACGCAGUUAGCUACAGGCACUCAGUAGUUUUUGUAUUGAUCCAUUGGGACACUUUUUCUGACCUCCUCCGUCUGAAUGUUUCAUAAAAGAUGAUUCCCAGAUGUGAAAGUGAAAGGGUGCAGCGAAACAUGUAAAUAAAUUAUGAAUAUGAUGUAUCCUUAAAACCUGUGUUCAUGCAUUUUUAAAUAUUCAAGAAUAAGCAACUUUGAUUUGGUUAAACUUUAAACAAAUUCAUGUUAAAUUUUAAACACAGCCACAUAAAUCUGCACUGUGAGUUUGUUUUAUGCAUUUAAAUGACUUGAUAGAGUUUUGACCCAAAUGGAUUUCAUGUGGUUUGUGUUCCUGAUUGUUUUUACGUCGUCUAAUUCUUGACUUUGCUGAUAAAAAAAGCUCUCUGAAUUUCCUCUGACGUGAUGAAUAUUUGCUUCUUGAUAACCCUGCGUUGCUUGGUUUUGCAAAAAGAAGUGAAUUUGAUGAAUAUUAUUUUUGGAUGAAGGUGAUUGUGUUCAUGCUGUGAUCAAAUAAACAUGUUCACUAAUAAAACUUUGAAUGUU